rnacentral:rRNA from 1 species
UUGCCUUUUCCAUAGCGGAGCAAAAGAAACCAACCGGGAUUGCCUUAGUAACGGCGAGUGAAGCGGCAAAAGCUCAAAUUUGAAAUCUGGCGUCUUCGACGUCCGAGUUGUAAUUUGAAGAAGGCGACUUUGUAGCUGGUCCUUGUCUAUGUUCCUUGGAACAGGACGUCAUAGAGGGUGAGAAUCCCGUGUGGCGAGGAUCCCAGUUAUUUGUAAAGUGCUUUCGACGAGUCGAGUUGUUUGGGAAUGCAGCUCUAAGUGGGUGGUAAAUUCCAUCUAAAGCUAAAUAUUGGCGAGAGACCGAUAGCGAACAAGUACAGUGAUGGAAAGAUGAAAAGAACUUUGAAAAGAGAGUGAAAAAGUACGUGAAAUUGUUGAAAGGGAAGGGCAUUUGAUCAGACAUGGCGUUUGCUUCGGCUUUCGCUGGGCCAGCAUCAGUUUUAGCGGUUGGAUAAAUCCUCGGGAAUGUGGCUCUGCUUCGGUAGAGUGUUAUAGCCCGUGGGAAUACAGCCAGCUGGGACUGAGGAUUGCGACUUUUGUCAAGGAUGCUGGCGUAAUGGUUAAAUGCCGCCCGUCUUGAACCCGGGGACCA